CUCAGCCCCUCUGCACCUUCAGCGUGCCUAGGGAGGGCUGUGGCUGGCCCCGGGAGCUGCGGCGCUACUUCCAGGUUCUCUUCUCUCAGGGCAGGCUUAUUCUGGAUACCAGGUCUUUACUUUUAAAUGAAAACCACCCGGCAUUCCUCUGUAGAUGGACACUAUACACAAACCUGGUUUUUUCUCAGAGCAGAAGUUAAAAAUUAUUCAAUGCAAAAUUCCUGGGCUGUGGAACAGUGGCCAGUUGUACCAGGCAAAGGUUUCCACCACAUUCCGCCCGCCAGGCCCGUGAUAAGACAGCCCUGCUGGACCCACACCACCAGGCCAACCUCGGCCUUUGGGAACCAGGGGCACGGAGGCUACAGGAAUGACUCAUCAGUUGGGCCAUACUCCCAGUGACUCAGAAGGCUGAGGCAAGAGGAUCACAAGUUCGAGGCCAGUCUCAGCAACUCAGCAAGCUCCUUUCUCAAAAUAAAGAAUGAAAAAGGC